GUACACGCUGUGACUAGCAUAUCAAUAAGCGGAGGAAAAGAAACUAACAAGGGAUUCCCCUAGUAACGGCGAGUGAAGCGGGAAGAGCUCAAAUUUGAAAUCUUAAAGGGUUUCCCUUUACGAAUUGUAGUUUAAAGAAGUGUUUUCUGUUGAGGUUUUGGUAAAAGUUCUUUGGAAUAGGACAUCAUAGAGGGUGAGAAUCCCGUAUUUGACCUUUACUUUCAACUUUGUGAUACACUUUCAAAGAGUCGGAUUGUUUGGGAAUGCAGUCCAAAAUGGGUGGUAAAUUUCAUCUAAAGCUAAAUAUUGGCGAGAGACCGAUAGCGAACAAGUACCGUGAGGGAAAGAUGAAAAGAACUUUGAAAAGAGAGUUAAACAGUACGCUGAAAUUGUCAAAAGGGAAGCGUUUGACACCAGUGUUGUUUUUCUGAAAAUCAAUUAAAGAACUGUUUAUGCUAAGUUGUUUAGACUUUAUCAGCUAAUCUGUUUAGUUUUGAGCUUUUCUUUAAUGCACUUUUCAGUUAACAAGUCAACAUCAAUUUCUUUUGCUGUAAAAAAGCUUGAGGAAGGUGGCUUGAGAUUCGUCUUAAGUGUUUAUAGCCUCUUGCCUAUGCAGUCGGAGAGAUUGAGGUCUGCAGCGUAGAUCCUUCGGGGCUAAAUGCAUUUGUGCUAAGUUAUAGCAUUUUAUAGACAACUUGUUGACUAUGAUUUGUCUUGUAGCUUACUCGCUUAUGUUAUUUUACCUACGCUUAGGAUGUUGAUAUGCAUGACUGAUAU
rnacentral:rRNA from 1 species